rnacentral:tRNA from 1 species
GGGGCCAUAGCUCAGAUGGGAGAGCACCUGCCUUGCACGCAGGGGGUCGGCGGUUCGAUCCCGCCUGGCUCCACCA